UACGAAGGGGGCGAGCGUUGCUCGGAAUCACUGGGCGUAAAGCGCACGUAGGCGGCUUUUUAAGUCAGGGGUGAAAUCCUGGAGCUCAACUCCAGAACUGCCUUUGAUACUGGGGAUCUCGAGUCCGGGAGAGGUGAGUGGAACUCCGAGUGUAGAGGUGAAAUUCGUAGAUAUUCGGAAGAACACCAGUGGCGAAGGCGGCUCACUGGCCCGGUACUGACGCUGAGGUGCGAAAGCGUGGGGAGCAAACAGG
rnacentral:rRNA from 1 species